CUACUUCAAUUUGUUGGGGACAGAUAAAAUGGAUAUGGGUAUCAAUUCCUCCCGCAGUGAGAAUCAUUCCUUCACCAGCUAAAGCUUCCGUUCCCGGUCCAAUAAUGAUAUCUAUAUUAUCUUGAAUAUAGGGAUUUCCGGCUUUGCCAAUUUUGUAAAUUUUACCAUUUUUAAUGCCAAUAUCUGCUUUGACAAUUCCCCACCAAUCGAGAAUUAAAGCAUUAGUAAUCACUAAAUCUACCGCACCAUCAUUAUUAGAAAUUGGCGAUUGUCCCAUACCAUCUCUAA
rfam:Anabaena sp. CRKS33 263, whole genome shotgun sequence.